rnacentral:rRNA from 1 species
UACGGAGGGGGCUAGCGUUGUUCGGAAUUACUGGGCGUAAAGCGCACGUAGGCGGCUUUGUAAGUUAGAGGUGAAAGCCCGGGGCUCAACUCCGGAAUUGCCUUUAAGACUGCAUCGCUAGAAUUGUGGAGAGGUAAGUGGAAUUCCGAGUGUAGAGGUGAAAUUCGUAGAUAUUCGGAAGAACACCAGUGGCGAAGGCGGCUCACUGGCCCGGUACUGACGGCUGAGGCACGAAAGCGUGGGGAGCAAACAGG